rnacentral:tRNA from 1 species
UAUUUAUAUAGUUUAAAAAAAACUUUACUUUUUCAUAGUAAAAAUAGAAAAUAAUAAUCUUAUAAAU